rnacentral:rRNA from 1 species
GACAGAGGAUGCAAGCGUUAUCCGGAAUGAUUGGGCGUAAAGCGUCUGUAGGUGGUUCAAAAAGUCUACUGUCAAAUACGUUGGCUCAACCAACGGCAGGCAUUAGAGUACUAUUGAACUAGAGUGUGGUAGAGGUAGAGGGAAUCCCUAGCGUAACAGUGAAAUGUGUAGAUUUAGGGAGAACACCAGCGGCGAAGGCGCUCUACUGGGCCAUUACUGACACUGAGAGACGAAAGCUAAGGGAGCGAAAGGG